AGCUCUCCACAGGCGCAUCAUUUCUGUGCCGGUUUAUCAAGAUUUCCCACAUUUUUUUUUUGGGAAAAAGGGUUAAAGUAAACUUUGGACCCGGUAAGAAGAGUCGGGGCCCGAUUUUUCUUUUAAGAAUUUUUGAAGGGUGAACCUCUCUUUGGGGCCGCUGUUGGGGCAGAUUUUUGGUGGGUAGUAGCCAAUAUUUCCAGUGAGAACCUUGAAGGGCGGAAAGGGGAGCAAGGGGUUCCCAUGUGAACAGCAGUUGGGCCAGGGUCAGUCGAUCCUAAGGAAAACGGGGGAAAGCUUGUUUGAAUUUGCGACAUGAAAUUGUAAAGGCUGAAAUAAUUAUUUGUGUUGUGUGUUGGGGGGAGGCGGAUUGUGUCGUCACCCAGGUUGUUGUUGUGUGCAGUUGUCGUAAUGUUUUUCGAAAAGGGAAUCCGGUUGAUAUUCCCGGAACCGAGUAACGGAGACCAAAGAGUAGCGGCUUUAAUCUUCUCUGUGGGGGUUGGGCGUUCAACUCAAUCGCGCGGAUAACGCAAGGGAACUCGGAAAAAUGACCGUCGUGAGUUUCGAAAAGAGUUUUCUUUUCUUUUUAAGGGACGCAUUCCCUGGAACCGGGUUGUCCGGAGAUAGGGAUUCUGGUAUCCAUAAAACGCCGACUUUUUCACGGUGUUCGGAGCGCUCUCGUCGGUACGUGAAAAUCCGAGCGACGCCUGGUAAAUCUCGUACUUGGUCGUACUGAUAUCCGCAGCAGGUCUCCAAGGUGAAUAGCCUCUGGCCGAUAGAAUAAUGUAGGUAAGGGAAGUCGGCAAAACGGAUCCGUAACUUCGGAACAAGGAUUGGCUCUAAGGGCUGGGCCGAUCGGGCUGAGGUUUCAAGCGUGCAGUGUAUGCUUGGCUUAGUUGUGUUGAGGACUUGUUCACUUGCCACCGGUUGUUCGGCUGGUCGAGUGUAUUCGAGUCUGAAGCAGAGCUGGCCGACAGACCGGCACGUGCAGAACCUGAGCUGCGCGGCUGUCCGUUUUCGUGUACAGACCGUUUCGGUCGGCAUUCAACAGCCAACUUAGAACUGGCACGGACACAAGGAAUCUGACUGUAUAAUUAAAACAAAGCAUUGCGAUGGCCGAUGAUCGGUGAUGACGCAAUGUGAUUU
rnacentral:ncRNA from 1 species